rnacentral:rRNA from 1 species
GUGGGGAAUAUUGGACAAUGGGCGAAAGCCUGAUCCAGCCAUGCCGCGUGUGUGAAGAAGGUCUUCGGAUUGUAAAGCACUUUAAGUUGGGAGGAAGGGCAGUAAGUUAAUACCUUGCUGUUUUGACGUUACCGACAGAAUAAGCACCGGCUAACUUCGUGCCAGCAGCCGCGGUAAUACGAAGGGUGCAAGCGUUAAUCGGAAUUACUGGGCGUAAAGCGCGCGUAGGUGGUUUUGUAAGUUGGAGGUGAAAUCACCGGGCUCAACCUGGGAACUACCUCCAAAACUGAAUGACUAGAGUACGGUAGAGGGUAGUGGAAUUUCCUGUGUAGCGGUGAAAUGCGUAGAUAUAGGAAGGAACACCAGUGGCGAAGGCGACUACCUGGACUGAUACUGACACUGAGGUGCGAAAGCGUGGGGAGCAAACAGGAUUAGAAACCCGUGUAGUCC